rnacentral:rRNA from 1 species
GGGUUGUGAGGUUAAGCGACUAAGCGUACACGGUGGAUGCCCUGGCAGUCAGAGGCGAUGAAGGGCGUGCUAAUCUGCGAUAAGCGCCGGUAAGGUGAUAUGAACCGUUAUAACCGGCGAUACCCGAAUGGGGAAACCCAGUGUGACUCGUCACACUAUCAUUAACUGAAUCCAUAGGUUAAUGAGGCGAACCGGGGGAACUGAAACAUCUAAGUACCCCGAGGAAAAGAAAUCAACCGAGAUUCCCCCAGUAGCGGCGAGCGAACGGGGAGGAGCCCAGAGCCUGAAUCAGCAUAUGUGUUAGUGGAAGCGUCUGGAAAGGCGCGCGAUACAGGGUGACAGCCCCGUACACAAAAGCGCAUGUGCUGUGAGCUCGAUGAGUAGGGCGGGACACGUGGUAUCCUGUCUGAAUAUGGGGGGACCAUCCUCCAAGGCUAAAUACUCCUGACUGACCGAUAGUGAACCAGUACCGUGAGGGAAAGGCGAAAAGAACCCCGGCGAGGGGAGUGAAAAAGAACCUGAAACCGUGUACGUACAAGCAGUGGGAGCCCCACCACUAAGCCAGUGGUGAACUCCACAUACGCAUCCUUUGCUGAGGAUACGGUUAACGGAGCGAAAGCGACGUUCAACCUCAAAAGAAGCAGAGGGGGCUUAGUGGUGGGGUGACUGCGUACCUUUUGUAUAAUGGGUCAGCGACUUAUAUUCUGUAGCAAGGUUAACCGAAUAGGGGAGCCGGAGGGAAACCGAGUCUUAAUUGGGCGUUAAGUUGCAGGGUAUAGACCCGAAACCCGGUGAUCUAGCCAUGGGCAGGUUGAAGGUUGGGUAACACUAACUGGAGGACCGAACCGACUAAUGUUGAAAAAUUAGCGG